GACUCCUGGCUCAGGAUGAACGCUAGCUACAGGCUUAACACAUGCAAGUCGAGGGGCAGCAUGGUCUUAGCUUGCUAAGGCCGAUGGCGACCGGCGCACGGGUGAGUAACACGUAUCCAACCUGCCGUCUACUCUUGGACAGCCUUCUGAAAGGAAGAUUAAUACAAGAUGGCAUCAUGAGUCCGCAUGUUCACAUGAUUAAAGGUAUUCCGGUAGACGAUGGGGA
rnacentral:rRNA from 1 species